CCUACGGGAGGCUGCAGUGGGGAAUAUUGGACAAUGGGCGAAAGCCUGAUCCAGCCAUGCCGCGUGUGUGAAGAAGGCCUUCGGGUUGUAAAGCACUUUCAGUGGGGAAGAAAGCCUUGGGGCUAAUACCCUCGAGGAAGGACAUCACCCACAGAAGAAGCACCGGCUAACUCCGUGCCAGCAGCCGCGGUAAUACGGAGGGUGCGAGCGUUAAUCGGAAUUACUGGGCGUAAAGCGCGCGUAGGCGGUCUGAUAAGCCGGUUGUGAAAGCCCCGGGCUCAACCUGGGAACGGCAUCCGGAACUGUCAGGCUAGAGUGCAGGAGAGGAAGGUAGAAUUCCCGGUGUAGCGGUGAAAUGCGUAGAGAUCGGGAGGAAUACCAGUGGCGAAGGCGGCCUUCUGGACUGACACUGACGCUGAGGUGUGAAAGCGUGGGUAGCAAACAGGAUUAGAUACCCGUGUAGUC
rnacentral:rRNA from 1 species